AGAGCGAACGCUGGCGGCAGGCCUAACACAUGCAAGUCGAGCGCCCCGCAAGGGGAGCGGCAGACGGGAGAGUAACACGUGGGAACGUACCCUUUGGUUCGGAACAACACAGGGAAACUUGUGCUAAUACCGGAUAAGCCCUUACGGGGAAAGAUUUAUUGCCAAAGGAUCGGCCCGCGUCUGAUUAGCUUGUUGGUGAGGUAACGGCUCACCAAGGCUACGAUCAGUAGCUGGUCUGAGAGGAUGAUCAGCCUCACUGGGACUGAGACACGGCCCAGACUCCUACGGGAGGCAGCAGUGGGGAAUAUUGGACAAUGGGCGAAAGCCUGAUCCAGCAAUGCCGCGUGUGUGAAGAAGGUCUUCGGAUUGUAAAGCACUUUCGACGGGGACGAUGAUGACGGUACCCGUAGAAGAAGCCCCGGCUAACUUCGUGCCAGCAGCCGC
rnacentral:rRNA from 1 species